rnacentral:rRNA from 1 species
AAAUUAGCGGAUGACCUGUGGCUGGGGGUGAAAGGCCAAUCAAACCGGGAGAUAGCUGGUUCUCCCCGAAAGCUAUUUAGGUAGCGCCUCGUGAAUUCAUCUUCGGGGGUAGAGCACUGUUUCGGCUAGGGGGCCAUCCCGGCUUACCAACCCGAUGCAAACUACGAAUACCGAAGAAUGUUAUCACGGGAGACACACGGCGGGUGCUAACGUCCGUCGUGAAGAGGGAAACAACCCAGACCGCCAGCUAAGGUCCCAAAGUCAUGGUUAAGUGGGAAACGAUGUGGGAAGGCACAGACAGCCAGGAUGUUGGCUUAGAAGCAGCCAUCAUUUAAAGAAAGCGUAAUAGCUCACUGGUCGAGUCGGCCUGCGCGGAAGAUGUAACGGGGCUAAACCAUGCACCGAAGCUGCGGCAGCGACGCUUAUGCGUUGUUGGGUAGGGGAGCGUUCUGUAAGCCGUUGAAGGUGUGCUGUGAGGCAUGCUGGAGGUAUCAGAAGUGCGAAUGCUGACAUAAGUAACGAUAAAGCGGGUGAAAAGCCCGCUCGCCGGAAGACCAAGGGUUCCUGUCCAACGUUAAUCGGGGCAGGGUGAGUCGACCCCUAAGGCGAGGCCGAAAGGCGUAGUCGAUGGGAAACAGGUUAAUAUUCCUGUACUUGGUGUUACUGCGAAGGGGGGACGGAGAAGGCUAUGUCAGCCGGGCGACGGUUGUCCCGGUUUAAGCAUGUAGGCGGAGGUUCCAGGUAAAUCCGGUACCUUAUUAACGCUGAGGUGUGAUGACGAGGCACUACGGUGCUGAAGUGAUAAAUGCCCUGCUUCCAGGAAAAGCCUCUAAGCAUCAGGUAACACGAAAUCGUACCCCAAACCGACACAGGUGGUCAGGUAGAGAAUACCAAGGCGCUUGAGAGAACUCGGGUGAAGGAACUAGGCAAAAUGGUGCCGUAACUUCGGGAGAAGGCACGCUGAUA